GAGCAACGUUUGUGGAGCAGCGCUGAAAGACGGAGGCAGAAGGUGGAGCGUCUUCGUCCUGCACGGAGCUUCGGUGGUGAUGUCAGGUCAUGCCUGGCCGACAGGUGCUACGCUUUGUCAUGCCUGGUCGGCAGGUGCUACGCACGACAGAUCUUACUGAGUCUUCGCGUCUGGAUGAACGAGCGCAGGGAGGGGGUGCCAUUGGGCGUCGUGGUGGCGUCGACGGAUGGCCGGACUAACAAGGAUUAUGCGGAUCUUUAUCCUGAAGAUGGUUCAACGGUUCGAUGAUGAUGGCGGCUUUUAAAACGUGUGCUUGUGGUGUACGCUUUAGGUCUGCUGCACCGGCUGUGAGUUCCGAUACGUCAUGUGGAUGGAUCGGAGACGACACCGGAUUUAGAUAUGGGGAGUGAGUGCACUCCACAUU
rnacentral:lncRNA from 1 species